GACAGAGGGGGCAAGCGUUGCUCGGAAUUACUGGGCGUAAAGGGCGCGUAGGCGGGAUGGCAAGUCGGUCGUGAAAUCCUUCGGCUCAACCGAAGAACGUCGGCCGAUACUGCCGUUCUUGAGGGAUGCAGAGGAGAUUGGAAUUCCCGGUGUAGCGGUGAAAUGUGUAGAGAUCGGGAGGAACACCGAAGGCGAAGGCAGUCUCCUGGCAAGUUACUGACGCUCAGGUGCGAAAGCGUGGGGAGCAAACAGG
rnacentral:rRNA from 1 species